GAUCAUGACGGCGGUUUGUUUACGAUUACGACGUAAAUUUGAAAAGCUCGUUAUUUUAUAUUACGCGAGAAUUUUUUAAAUUAAAGUUAAUAUUUACACUUAUGAGGAGUAUGGUUCUAAAUUGUGAUAUCGAUAAAUAUUUAAAAAUAAAAUAAAUAAUUGGCGAGUACACUUCUGUUAGGUGCUUGGCUGAGCCCCUCCUAUUUGUGAUGUGCGUCUUGAUGUAGUUCCACAAAUGGGGGGACUUAUAGCCGACUCCAAACGCCUAUUAUGAGGAGUUUUUCAUGGCCGAAAUACUCUCGAAGGUUUGCCAUUGCCUGUUGAGGGGAGACCGCUGUUAGACAAUUUAAUCUAAUAUUAGAUGUUAAUGCACGGAGAUUCGAACCUACUAUCCAUUCAGCUACGGCGGCCGUCAUAUAAAUAUUUAAGCGUUUUCAAUUUCCCAUUGGACGCGGCUUUGUUGGAAAAGUGUAUUCAGAUCCCCCGGAGGGAAGUUGAAUUUAACCCGAGUCGCACAUUUUUGUGAAGCAUUUCCCAAGUUUAGGCAUCGGCAUAAAGAAAAAGCAUUUGUGUCCUAGACCGCUAUGUACAGAACGUAAUGCAAUCUAUCAUUCUCAUCUUAGACUGAAGUAAUAAUACCAUAUAUUCACAAGGGCGCCAAAUUCUAUGAGACAUCAAAGUUGUCUUAAUAAUAUUAAAAAUACGAAGAUGCAAAGAGAUCAAAUUUCAUCAAAUGUUCUCGUCAUGGAUCUCCUGUUAUUUGCGACUACUUGAGGCAAUAGAAGGCAAACCCACGAUAUGUCUCAUAAUGUUAAUAUGAUACGUUACCAGAGCUGAUUCAGCAUCUACGAACCAUAUCAAGUGCAAGCACGCAGUAUGUACCUUGUCUGCUUGAGUAAGGAUUAUGGGCGUAAUCAAGGGCGAAGUUUUGGUGUUCAAGUACAAAAAAUUAUUAAAA